GGAGCGUCAUCACCGCGCUUACUCAGUCUCCUAGCAACAGGAAACAUCUGCCUCCGCGAGGACCAAUGAGGGCGCGGGAGGAGCGGUGUGUGCCGUCUCCUGUUGCUGUGAACGGGAUAUUUUAGGAGACUGGAGAGCAGUGAGCGUCUCACCCCGGAGGAGCUGGAGCUGUCUGCCUGUCUGUCUGUCUGUCCGUCUGCGGGAACCGACCGAGGGAGGCUCUGACCUGAAGCCGAACGGGAGCGUCGCUGAAUCGGUGUGAGGACAGUGGAUGUCUCGCCGAGGAGCGAAGGACAUCAACGGAGACAAAGGCUUUGAGUGGGAUUUACUGAGCCGCUGCUGGACGGAAUUAUUUAAAGGAGCCUGAGGGCAAUGUGGAGGCUCAAAUUGGCUCAGACGCACUGAUUCACCCUCCAGUCAGAGAGCUGAGCGCCGGACUGUGGACCGUCAGCAGCAGCAGCCCCUUCCCUGUGAGAGAGAACAAACCAUUCAACAACGUCGAAAGUUGCCUACUUCAAGAGGAAAUAUGCGGAGGAGGAGGAUCUACAUGGAGGCCUACAUGGAUAUUUUCAAAAACACCUGAUACUGCAGGAAGACCGGAGCUGCAUCCUGAAGCUGUCCCUGGAGAAGCUAAGGUUCCUGGAGGACCCUGAGGCCUACCUGCGGCGCUCCGUCCUCAUCAACAACCUGCUGAGGAAGAUCCACCAUGAGGAGGAGGAGCUAGGAGGCCGAGGAGGAGGAAGAAGACGAGGAUGAAGUAGAAGAAGAAGAUGAAGAAGAAGAAGAGGAGGUUAUUGGAGAGAGUGGGCAGCGGAGGCUGAUGUACCCGGACAGGAAGAGAGUGAAGGUGCUGGUGACGGACUGCUGCUCUCCGGCGUUUGGUCUGGAGGACCUUCAGCAUUACCGGCUGGUGCCCUGUUACCCCUCAGCUGGAUGCUUGUACAGCCUGGCAACGUGCCCAGGACUCACCCCCAACCACCAAGUCCUUCUGUACAACCUGGACGACAAUGGCUGACUCUCCAGGCUUCACUGUCAUGCCUCCGUUCACAAAGCUGGGAAAUGCAAACAUGUACUGUUUGUUCACAAUCACCAGGAGGAAAGCUGCUGCUGCUGUUUUCCCUCGGUUUACCACUGAAAACCUUUGGGGGUGGGGGGGGGGGGUCGUGUGUCGUUGGCUCUGUUAUGUUCAUCAGCAGGAUGUUACCUCCUCUCAUCACCUUGCUAAGAGGCAGGAGUGGAUUUAAGAAGCUGAGAAACCCUGAUUCUUCUUCUGCCUCAGGAUCAACAGAGUCUCUGAUGUUGAUGUCAAACUCUGUCCCAGCGUCACUGCCGUUUAGUAUUUGUGCAAAUGUGAGAGACUCUGAGCAGGCAGGAUUUUUUUCUUUGCUGUUGCUGGUAUGUUAAUGAUUUUUAUUGUUACUGUUGCUCAUGUGAACGGUGAGCAUAUUCAGGGAUUUACAAACUGCAGGCUACUAUUUGAUGCACCUUGGCUUGCGUGGAGAAUAUGCGCUGAUAUGCUUCUGUUAUCUUUUUAUUCUACUGUGUGAUUUAUGAAAUAUUCUAUGUAACAUUCCCUGGACUGUGUGAAUUGCCAUGCUGUCUCAAGAUCCUCGUUCUCUGAGGUGCAUUUUCUGCCUGUGGGGAGACUGUUUCUGUCUGUAUUUGACGUCCUGUGUAUGCUGUGAGUAUUUUUCUUUUUGCAUCACUUUGCUGCUCUCUGCUGGUGAAAGAAUUCAUCUUGAAGCCCCUCUUUGUGGCUGAUGUGUUUAAAUUUCACAAUGAAAGUGAAUAAUGAGGAAAAUGGUGACACUUCAAGCCCCAGUGAUGAAACAAGUCAUACUUUGCUUUCUUGUGGAUUUAAAAAAAAGAGGAUGACAUUUCUUCUCUGCUCCUAGAAGUCACAAUAUUUUUUUCUUCCACCAAAUAUUGUUUUUGUGGAUAUAUACUUUUAAUUUUUUUUAAAACAGACUAUCAAAGAGCAGAAUGUCCUUUAAUUGAUUUCAUAUUUAAUAUUUUCCUACUAUCAGUCCUGAAUACAACAGCACAGGAGACUGGGUUUUGUCAGAACAUAUGUUAUUAUUUAAUGCUGCACAAAGUGUGCAUUAUAAAACUGUCUAAUCUGCUGUAUGACAACAGUGAUGAAUGAUUCAUCCCUUCUCAGUGUCUCUUUCUGUACUUUGAGUGUUUGGUCUCUGUCUGGGAGUUUUACUGAGUUUGAAAAUGUGCAUCUUGAUAACAAUCACGACAAUGAAUUAAAAAAAACACACAACAACAAGGCAACUAUUAAAGAGAAGCUUGAUAUUUUAAAACAAGAAUUUAUAUUUUGAUGAAAAUGCAUAUUCCAUAUUUAAGAUGAACUUAUUUUGAAAAAGGGCCAUUAAACUUUUUUUCAGGUGAUUGAUUAUCAAAUAAAGUAUGUAAGGUGACAACGUU